UUUGGUUAAGUUAGAAAGGGCGCACGGUGGAUGCCUUGACACUAGGAGUCGAUGAAGGACGGGACUAACGCCGAUAUGCUUCGGGGAGCUGUAAGUAAGCUUUGAUCCGAAGAUUUCCGAAUGGGGAAACCCACCAUACGUAAUGGUAUGGUAUCCUUAUCUGAAUACAUAGGGUAAGGAAGACAGACCCAGGGAACUGAAACAUCUAAGUACCUGGAGGAAGAGAAAGCAAAUGCGAUUUCCUGAGUAGCGGCGAGCGAAACGGAACAUAGCCCAAACCAAGAGGCUUGCCUCUUGGGGUUGUAGGACAUUCUAUACGGAGUUACAAAGGAACGAGGUAGACGAAGCGACCUGGAAAGGUCCGUCGUAGAGGGUAACAACCCCGUAGUCGAAACUUCGUUCUCUCUUGAAUGUAUCCUGAGUACGGCGGAACACGUGAAAUUCCGUCGGAAUCUGGGAGGACCAUCUCCCAAGGCUAAAUACUCCCUAGUGAUCGAUAGUGAACCAGUACCGUGAGGGAAAGGUGAAAAGCACCCCGGAAGGGGAGUGAAAGAGAUCCUGAAACCGUGUGCCUACAAAUAGUCAGAGCCCGUUAACGGGUGAUGGCGUGCCUUUUGUAGAAUGAACCGGCGAGUUACGAUCCCGUGCGAGGUUAAGCUGAAGAGGCGGAGCCGCAGCGAAAGCGAGUCUGAAUAGGGCGUUUAGUACGUGGUCGUAGACCCGAAACCAGGUGAUCUACCCAUGUCCAGGGUGAAGUUCAGGUAACACUGAAUGGAGGCCCGAACCCACGCACGUUGAAAAGUGCGGGGAUGAGGUGUGGGUAGCGGAGAAAUUCCAAUCGAACCUGGAGAUAGCUGGUUCUCCCCGAAAUAGCUUUAGGGCUAGCCUUAAGUGUAAGAGUCUUGGAGGUAGAGCACUGAUUGGACUAGGGGUCCUCAUCGGAUUACCGAAUUCAGUCAAACUCCGAAUGCCAAUGACUUAUCCUUAGGAGUCAGACUGCGAGUGAUAAGAUCCGUAGUCAAAAGGGAAACAGCCCAGACCGCCAGCUAAGGUCCCAAAGUGUGUAUUAAGUGGAAAAGGAUGUGGAGUUGCUUAGACAACUAGGAUGUUGGCUUAGAAGCAGCCACCAUUUAAAGAGUGCGUAAUAGCUCACUAGUCGAGUGACUCUGCGCCGAAAAUGUACCGGGGCUAAAUACACCACCGAAGCUGCGGAUUGAUACCGAAUGGUAUCAGUGGUAGGGGAGCGUUCUAAGGACAGUGAAGUCAGACCGGAAGGACUGGUGGAGUGCUUAGAAGUGAGAAUGCCGGUAUGAGUAGCGAAAGACGGGUGAGAAUCCCGUCCACCGAAUGCCUAAGGUUUCCUGAGGAAGGCUCGUCCGCUCAGGGUUAGUCAGGACCUAAGCCGAGGCCGACAGGCGUAGGCGAUGGACAACAGGUUGAUAUUCCUGUACCACCUCUUUAUCGUUUGAGCAAUGGAGGGACGCAGAAGGAUAGAAGAAGCGUGCGAUUGGUUGUGCACGUCCAAGCAGUUAGGCUGAUAAGUAGGCAAAUCCGCUUAUCGUGAAGGCUGAGCUGUGAUGGGGAAGCUCCUUAUGGAGCGAAGUCUUUGAUUCCCCGCUGCCAAGAAAAGCUUCUAGCGAGAUAAAAGGUGCCUGUACCGCAAACCGACACAGGUAGGCGAGGAGAGAAUCCUAAGGUGUGCGAGAGAACUCUGGUUAAGGAACUCGGCAAAAUGACCCCGUAACUUCGGGAGAAGGGGUGCUUUCUUAACGGAAAGCCGCAGUGAAUAGGCCCAAGCGACUGUUUAGCAAAAACACAGCUCUCUGCGAAGCCGUAAGGCGAAGUAUAGGGGGUGACACCUGCCCGGUGCUGGAAGGUUAAGGAGAGGGGUUAGCGUAAGCGAAGCUCUGAACUGAAGCCCCAGUAAACGGCGGCCGUAACUAUAACGGUCCUAAGGUAGCGAAAUUCCUUGUCGGGUAAGUUCCGACCCGCACGAAAGGUGUAACGAUUUGGGCACUGUCUCAACCAGAGACUCGGUGAAAUUAUAGUACCUGUGAAGAUGCAGGUUACCCGCGACAGGACGGAAAGACCCCGUGGAGCUUUACUGUAGCCUGAUAUUGAAUUUUGGUACAGUUUGUACAGGAUAGGCGGGAGCCAUUGAAACCGGAGCGCUAGCUUCGGUGGAGGCGCUGGUGGGAUACCGCCCUGACUGUAUUGAAAUUCUAACCUACGGGUCUUAUCGACCCGGGAGACAGUGUCAGGUGGGCAGUUUGACUGGGGCGGUCGCCUCCUAAAGUGUAACGGAGGCGCCCAAAGGUUCCCUCAGAAUGGUUGGAAAUCAUUCGUAGAGUGCAAAGGCAUAAGGGAGCUUGACUGCGAGACCUACAAGUCGAGCAGGGACGAAAGUCGGGCUUAGUGAUCCGGUGGUUCCGCAUGGAAGGGCCAUCGCUCAACGGAUAAAAGCUACCCCGGGGAUAACAGGCUUAUCUCCCCCAAGAGUCCACAUCGACGGGGAGGUUUGGCACCUCGAUGUCGGCUCAUCGCAUCCUGGGGCUGUAGUCGGUCCCAAGGGUUGGGCUGUUCGCCCAUUAAAGCGGUACGCGAGCUGGGUUCAGAACGUCGUGAGACAGUUCGGUCCCUAUCCGUCGUGGGCGUAGGAAAUUUGAGAGGAGCUGUCCUUAGUACGAGAGGACCGGGAUGGACGCACCGCUGGUGUACCAGUUGUUCUGCCAAGGGCAUAGCUGGGUAGCUAUGUGCGGAAGGGAUAAGUGCUGAAAGCAUCUAAGCAUGAAGCCCCCCUCAAGAUGAGAUUUCCCAUAGCGUAAGCUAGUAAGAUCCCUGAAAGAUGAUCAGGUUGAUAGGUUCGAGGUGGAAGCAUGGUGACAUGUGGAGCUGACGAAUACUAAUAGAUCGAGGACUUAACCAUAUAA
rnacentral:rRNA from 2 species